rnacentral:rRNA from 1 species
AACGAACGCUGGCGGCAGGCUUAACACAUGCAAGUCGAGCGCCCCGCAAGGGGAGCGGCAGACGGGUGAGUAACGCGUGGGAAUCUACCCAUCUCUACGGAAUAACGCAUGGAAACGUGUGCUAAUACCGUAUACGUCCUUCGGGAGAAAGAUUUAUCGGAGAUGGAUGAGCCCGCGUUGGAUUAGCUAGUUGGUGGGGUAAAGGCCUACCAAGGCGACGAUCCAUAGCUGGUCUGAGAGGAUGAUCAGCCACACUGGGACUGGGACACGGCCCAGACUCCUACGGGAGGCAGCAGUGGGGAAUAUUGGACAAUGGGCGCAAGCCUGAUCCAGCCAUGCCGCGUGAGUGAUGAAGGCCCUAGGGUUGUAGAGCUCUUUCACCGGUGAAGAUAAUGACGGUAACCGGAGAAGAAGCCCCGGCUAACUUCGUGCCAGCAGCCGCGGUAACAC